UACGUAGGGGGCAAGCGUUGUCCGGAAUCAUUGGGCGUAAAGAGCGUGUAGGCGGCCAGAUAAGUCCGCUGUGAAAUCUCGAGGCUCAACUUCGAGCUGUCGGUGGAAACUGUCUGGCUAGAGUCCGGAAGAGGAGAAUGGAAUUCCUGGUGUAGCGGUGAAAUGCGCAGAUAUCAGGAAGAACACCCGUGGCGAAGGCGGCUCUCUGGGACGGUACUGACGCUGAGGAGCGAAAGCGUGGGGAGCAAACAGG
rnacentral:rRNA from 1 species